rnacentral:rRNA from 1 species
AACGAACGCUGGCGGCAGGCUUAACACAUGCAAGUCGAGCGCGUAGCAAUACGAGCGGCAGACGGGUGAGUAACGCGUGGGAAUCUACCGUACCCUACGGAAUAGCUCUGGGAAACUGGAGGUAAUACCGUAUACGCCCUAACGGGGAAAGAUUUAUCGGGGUAUGAUGAGCCCGCGUUGGAUUAGCUAGUUGGUGGGGUAAAGGCCUACCAAGGCGACGAUCCAUGGCUGGGCUGAGAGGAUGAUCAGCCACAUUGGGACUGAGACACGGCCCAAACUCCUACGGGAGGCAGCAGUGGGGAAUAUUGGACAAUGGGCGCAAGCCUGAUCCAGCCAUGCCGCGUGAGUGAUGAAGGUCUUAGGAUUGUAAAGCUCUUUCACCGAUGAAGAUAAUGACGGUAGUCGGAGAAGAAGCCCCGGCUAACUUCGUGCCAGCCGCCGCCGUAA